rnacentral:rRNA from 1 species
CCAGAGUCAGUAUCAGUCCAGGUGAGCCGCCUUCGCCACUGGUGUUCCUUCCUAUAUCUACGCAUUUCACCGCUACACAGGAAAUUCCACCACCCUCUACCGUACUCUAGCCAGACAGUUUUGAAUGCAGUUCCCAGGUUGAGCCCGGGGAUUUCACAUCCAACUUAACAAACCACCUACGCGCGCUUUACGCCCAGUAAUUCCGAUUAACGCUUGCACCCUCCGUAUUACCGCGGCUGCUGGCCCCCCGUGCCCCCGCCCCGCCCGCCGCGCGCGGGGGGGGGGGCGGGGCGGGGGGAGAGCGAGGUAUGGAGGCGCCUUUAGCCCUCCAAA